UCACAAUUCUACCAUGUACAGCUCAUCAAGAACACACCCACAAGCUCCUGGCAGUCCCUGGUUGAGAACCGGUGGGGACGGAAGCACUGAAGCAGGUUACCAUUGUCGCUCUCCAGGCAAGACAUAUGUUGCUCACAAGCUGUGAAACACUAUUUGAGACAUUUUCCUCAUUCUUUAUCUCAAUUCGUCUUGAUUUCUGAGGUGGACAGCAACAACAAGACCUGAACAGCACUAUCCAAUAGCACUUUCUGCAACAAUGGAAACAUUCAAUUAUCUGCACUGUUCCAUAGAGUAGCCACUAGUCACUUGUGUCUUUUGAGCACUUGAAAUAGAACCUCCACAGCUGAGGAAUGGAAUUUAUAUUUUACUUAAUUUUGAUGAACUUAAAUCUACAGCAAAACUCUAGACAAUUAUACCUUCAGUCAUUAUUACUGCAUGUGAUCCACUCAUGGUUCUUACAUCCCUUCUCGCCUACUGAAGCAAGCAAGACACUAACGGUACAAUAUACCACAGAAAUAAGAGAGAUACCCAAUUCCUUUCUUCCAGGGUCAAAAACUCUUCUGAUUCCUAAAGAACUUUUCCUAAAACCUCUUAAAUCCAAUCACCAAAUUUCCCACUACUAGACUAUGAUAAUUUUAAGGAAGAAGUGAAAAGCAGAUAGCAAAAGGCAUUCAAAUGACAGGAAGCAAGGAAAGAAUAAUACCAAUGCCAUAAAGUUCCUGCAGCCUGGGCCACAGAUAGUUCCUCUCUAUGGAAUCAAGUGUAGGCUAAAGACCAA